GCAGAAUCAGUAUAUAAGCAGGGACAAACAGGAAAUCGCUCUCUUCUUUUUUCUCUUCUCUGCCGGGAUGCUGAGCCAGCCAUCAGCAUGUAGCAGGCAAAGGAGUUACAGAAGGACAUCCCACAUCAAGGACUUGUUUUGGAUCCCAGUUCAGGAAUCUUCAGGUUUCCAGUUGCUCAACUUCCACUGUCACUCCUCUGAAUCUUCCAUCCAAAAUGCCAAAGCUUUGGAAGCAGCCUUCAGGACAGUGAAAAAGAUGGAGAGCUCAGAGGUCAUCAGUCCUUCAGUGUCUUCUCACUGGUGAAUUCUACCAUGACUCUAACCUUGGUAAUACAAGCCCAGGGGAAACUAUGUGAAGAACAGGCCUGGAGUGAAUUCUCUGCUGAUGUCUUUUGACUUACAUGUUUGAAACUCAGCCAACGAAACUCUUGGCCUCUCCUCUCCCCAUUUCUGUCAUAAACUGAGUGCUCAAUAUUUUG
rnacentral:lncRNA from 1 species